GCUGGGCACAGUGGUGCACGCCUGUAAUCCCAGUGGCUUGGGAGGCUGAGGCAGGAAGAUCUCAAGUUCAAAGCCAGCCUCAGCAAAAGCGAGGUGCUAAGCAACUCAGUGAGACCCUGUCUCUA
rnacentral:sRNA from 1 species